UUUCCCUACGGGACGCAGCAGUAGGGAAUAUUGCUCAAUGGGGGAAACCCUGAAGCAGCAACGCCGCGUGGAGGAUGAAGGUUUUCGGAUUGUAAACUCCUUUUGUUAGAGAAGAUAAUGACGGUAUCUAACGAAUAAGCACCGGCUAACUCCGUGCCAGCAGCCGCGGUAAUACGGAGGGUGCAAGCGUUACUAGGAAUCACUGGGCGUAAAGAGCGCGUAGGCGGGAUAGAAAGUCAGAUGUGAAAUAAUAUGGCUUAACCAUAGAACCGCAUU
rnacentral:rRNA from 1 species